rnacentral:tRNA from 1 species
ACGGGUGUAGGGAAGUUUGGCCGUUCCCGCUGCCCUUGGAAGGCAGAGAUUCAGGUUCAAAUCCUGAUGCCGGUA